GGGGGGGCUAUGAAAGUAUGGAUUUGUGUGGGUUUCUCUGUUUAAUCCCAAAUCUGUCAGGCCUUGUUAAAUUUGAUGGGGCCUGAAAGGUCUGGUGUUAAGCAAAUACUCGGUGACCAGAGUCUUUGAUGAGAAUCAAACUGAAGCUUAAUCCUGAGGUGUCCUUGGGCAGGGGAACGGCUUGCUGUGGACUUCAUUGUCAGUAUCUGCCCAGCAGAGUCCAUUAAGAGAGACAGGCUCCUUGGAGAGGCUGGUUGACCAUAAAACAAACAAAACACCAGGUAAAACAAGAGCCAGCACCUCGGCUCUGACAGUCAGGCCACACCGUAACUUUUUCUGACAACAGCAAGGAUCAAGAUACCCAACAGGAAGCAUGGAAAUCUACCAGGCAGCUCCCCACUGAAGGGUGUAAUUAGAGAGCUGACAGGCUGUACACGCGGCACCAUUAACAGGUCCACCUGUGAGGGAGACCUGGCGAGCACAGCCUAGUGUGUGAAGAAGAAAGGGAAGAAACAAAGGAAGAGGAAGGAUAACAGAGGAAAGUCGGAAGGGAGGAUUGGUGAACAGAUACAGGGACAGGCAAAUGGACGGAUGAUGAGGAAUGAUGUCAUGCUCUUGGGUGGAAGUGAUGUACCAGCCGAUGCACACGUGGUGUUCAUGGGUUCCCAACAGAAGGCUAGCAGCAGCAUGGUGCUAUAAGUUUUACAAAGGCUAACAGGAGAGAGAGAGAAAAAGGUUCCAGCUCCCUUGUAUAACGGCGUGACAGUAAUGCACCCCGGUCCUCGGCAGCACAGUAAAUUCCUCCUCUCUGAAUUGUUGGUUCGGGACAAUCAUUCAGCAGG